rnacentral:rRNA from 1 species
GACGAACGCUGGCGGCGUGCUUAACACAUGCAAGUCGAACGGGUCUGCCCUGUUUUUUGCGGGGUGGGUCAGUGGCGAACGGGUGAGUAACACGUGAGUAACCUGCCCCUCACUUCUGGAUAACCGCUUGAAAGGGUGGCUAAUACGGGGUGUUCUGGCUGUGCCGCAUGGUGUGGCUGGGAAAGAUUCACUUUUGUGGUGUUUUGGUGGGGGAUGGGCUCGCGGCCUAUCAGCUUGUUGGUGGGGUGAUGGCCUGCCAAGGCUUUGACGGGUAGCCGGCCUGGGAGGGUGGGCGGUCACACUGGGACGGAGAUACGGCCCAGACUCCUGCGGGAGGCAGCAGUGGGGGGUAUUGCACAAUGGGCGGAAGCCUGAUGCAGCGACGUCGCGUGAGGGAUGGAGGCCUUCGGGUUGUGAACCUCUUUCGCCGGUGAAGAAGGUCCUGCUCUUUGUGGUGGGGUUGACGGUAGCCGGGUUAUGAAGCGCCGGCUAACUACGUG